rnacentral:misc_RNA from 1 species
GAUGAAGAACGUAGCGAAAUGCGAUAAGUAAUGUGAAUUGCAGAAUUCAGUGAAUCAUCGAAUCUUUGAACGCACAUUGCGCCCGCCAGUAUUCUGGCGGGCAUGCCUGUUCGAGCGUCAUUACAACCCUCAGGCCCCCGGGCCUGGCGUUGGGGAUCGGCGGAGCCCCCCGUGGGCACACGCCGUCCCCCAAAUGCAGUGGCGGUCCCGCCGCAGCUUCCAUCGCGUAGUAGCUAACACCUCGCGACUGGAGAGCGGCGCGGCCACGCCGUAAAACACCCAACUCUUCUGAAGUUGACCUCGAAUCAGGUAGGAAUACCCGCUGAACUUAAGCAUAUCAAUAAGCGGAGA